AAUCAACGCUGGCGGCGUGCCUCAGACAUGCAAGUCGAACGCGAAAGUCCCCUUCGGGGGACAAGUAGAGUGGCGCACGGGUGAGUAACACGUAGGUAAUCUACCUUCGGAUGGGGAAUAACAACCGGAAACGGUUGCUAAUACCGCAUAAUGCAGCGGCACCUAAUGGUGACAGUUGUUAAAGCGGGGGAUCGAAAGACCUCGCGUCUGAAGAGGAGCCUGCGGCGGAUUAGCUAGNGGUAAGGUAAUGGCUUACCAAGGCUACGAUCCGUAACCGGCCUGAGAGGGCGGUCGGUCACACUGACACUGACAUACGGGUCAGACUCCUACGGGAGCAGCAGUCGGGAAUUUUGGGCAAUGGGCGAAAGCCUGACCCAGCAACGCCG
rnacentral:rRNA from 1 species